UACGUAGGGUGCAAGCGUUAAUCGGAAUUACUGGGCGUAAAGCGUGCGCAGGCGGCUUUGCAAGACAGAUGUGAAAUCCCCGGGCUCAACCUGGGAACUGCAUUUGUGACUGCAUGGCUAGAGUACGGUAGAGGGGGAUGGAAUUCCGCGUGUAGCAGUGAAAUGCGUAGAUAUGCGGAGGAACACCGAUGGCGAAGGCAAUCCCCUGGACCUGUACUGACGCUCAUGCACGAGAGCGUGGGGAGCAAACAGG
rnacentral:rRNA from 1 species